rnacentral:lncRNA from 1 species
GGGGUCUCAGUGCCAGGGGUGUCAGUGCUGCGGACAUCAAUGUUGGGGUGUCAGUGCUGGGGACAUCAGUGUUGGGGUGUCAGUGCUGGGAGUCUCAGUGUUGGGGAUGCCAUUGCUGGGGGUGUCAGUGCUGGAGGUAUGAGUGCUGGGGGUGUCAGUGCUGGGGGUCUCAGUGUUGGGGGUGUCAGUGCUGGAGGUAUGAGUGCUGGGGGACUCAGUGUUGGGGUAUUAGUGCUGGGAGUGUCAGUGCAGGGCUGUUAGUGCUGGGGACGUUAGUGCUGGCAGUGUCAGUGUUGGGGUGUUAGUUGUAUGGGUGUCAUACCCAUACCUGGGGGCAUCAGUGCUGGGGGCAUCAGUGGUGGGGGGAUUAGUGCUGAGGGAGCAAUUCUGGCGGGGGGUCAGUGUUGGAGUGUCAGUGAUGGGGGCUCAGUACCUGGGUUGUCAGUACCUGGGAGGUCAGUGCUGGGGACGUCAGUGCUUGGACGUCAGUGCUGGGGUGUCAGUGCCAAGGGUGUCAGUGCUGGGGUGUCAGUGCUGGGGGUGUCAGUGCUGGGGUGUCAGUGUUGGGGGUGUCAGUGCUGGGGGUGUCAGUGCCGAGGGUGUCAGUGCCGGGGGUGUCAGUGCUGGGGGUGUCAGUGCUGGGGUGUCAGUG